CAUUGCUGGAACGCGCCCCAGGCGCACCCAGAAACCCUUUGUGAACUUAUACCCUUACUGUUGCCUCGGCGUCAGGCCGGCCCUCCUCCUUGGGGGGCCCCUCGUCCCCGGACGAGGAGCAGGCCCGCCGGCGGCCUACCUAACUCUUGUUUUUAACGCGGAACUCUGAGUAAAAAUUCAAAAUGAAUCAAAACUUUCAACAACGGAUCUCUUGGUUCUGGCAUCGAUGAAGAACGCAGCGAAAUGCGAUAAGUAAUGUGAAUUGCAGAAUUCAGUGAAUCAUCGAAUCUUUGAACGCACAUUGCGCCCUCUGGUAUUCCGGAGGGCAUGCCUGUUCGAGCGUCAUUUCAACCCUCAAGCCUGGCUUGGUGAUGGGGUACUGCCUCCUAGCGGGGGCAGGCCCUGAAAUUCAGUGGCGAGCUCGCCAGGACUCCGAGCGUAGUAGUUAAACCCUCGCUCUGGAAGGACUGGCGGUGCCCUGCCGUUAAACCCCCAACUUCUGAAAAUUUGACCUCGGAUCAGGUAGGAAUACCCGCUGAACUUAAGCAUAU
rnacentral:rRNA from 1 species